CCUACGGGGGGCAGCAGUGGGGAAUACUGCACAAUGGGCGCAAGCCUGAUGCAGCCAUGCCGCGUGUGUGAAGAAGGCCUUCGGGUUGUAAAGCACUUUCAGCGGGGAGGAAGGCGGUGAGGUUAAUAACCUCAUCGAUUGACGUUACCCGCAGAAGAAGCACCGGCUAACUCCGUGCCAGCAGCCGCGGUAAUACGGAGGGUGCAAGCGUUAAUCGGAAUUACUGGGCGUAAAGCGCACGCAGGCGGUCUGUCAAGUCGGAUGUGAAAUCCCCGGGCUCAACCUGGGAACUGCAUUCGAAACUGGCAGGCUAGAGUCUUGUAGAGGGGGGUAGAAUUCCAGGUGUAGCGGUGAAAUGCGUAGAGAUCUGGAGGAAUACCGGUGGCGAAGGCGGCCCCCUGGACAAAGACUGACGCUCAGGUGCGAAAGCGUGGGGAGCAAACAGGAUUAGAUACCCGUGUAGUC
rnacentral:rRNA from 1 species